rnacentral:rRNA from 1 species
AUUGAACGCUGGCGGCAGGCCUAACACAUGCAAGUCGAGCGAGAAAGCACUUCGGUGUGAGUACAGCGGCGGACGGGUGAGUAACGCGUAGGAAUCUACCCGGUAGUGGGGGACAACUUGGGGAAACCCAAGCUAAUACCGCAUACGCCCUAAGGGGGAAAGCGGGGGAUCUUCGGACCUCGCGCUAUCGGAUGAGCCUGCGUAGGAUUAGCUAGUUGGUGGGGUAAAGGCUCACCAAGGCGACGAUCCUUAGCUGGUCUGAGAGGAUGAUCAGCCACACUGGGACUGAGACACGGCCCAGACUCCUACGGGAGGCAGCAGUGGGGAAUAUUGCGCAAUGGGCGAAAGCCUGACGCAGCCAUGCCGCGUGUGUGAAGAAGGCCCUAGGGUUGUAAAGCACUUUCAAUUGGGAAGAAAGCUGUUGCUUAAUAAGUAACAGCCCUGACAUUACCUUUAGAAGAAGCACCGGCUAACUCCGUGCCAGCGCCGCGGUAA